UACGUAGGGCGCAAGCGUUAUCCGGAAUUAUUGGGCGUAAAGAGCGCGUAGGCGGUUUGUCGCGUCUGCCGUGAAAGUCCGGGGCUCAACUCCGGAUCUGCGGUGGGUACGGGCAGACUAGAGUGAUGUAGGGGAGACUGGAAUUCCCGGUGUAGCGGCGAAAUGCGCAGAUAUCAGGAGGAACACCGAUGGCGAAGGCAGGUCUCUGGGCAUUAACUGACGCUGAGGAGCGAAAGCAUGGGGAGCGAACGGG
rnacentral:rRNA from 1 species